ACCUCAUGCUGCAUAAGGGUUAGACCACAGAACCCACUUCCGUCCCUGACACCCACUGUCGCCCACGGAGUUGUCACAGGGAUGUUGUCCAAAAACUAUCCACCUUUCAUGGCACAUGCGCAUCUUGACACCCCUCUGUCUGCCUUGCAGCCCCUGGACUAUGAGAUUUCUGCCUUUCACACCCUGCUGAUCAAAGUGGAAAACGAGGACCCCCUGGUGCCCGAUGUAUCCUAUGGCCCCAGCUCCACUGCAACCGUCCACAUCACCGUCUUGGAUGUCAAUGAGGGCCCAGUCUUCUACCCAGACCCCAUGAUGGUGACCAAGCGGGAGAACAUCUCCGUGGGCAGCGUGUUGCUGACCGUGAAUGCCACGGACCCCGAUUCCCUGCAGCAUCAAACCAUCAGAAUCCCUGGGACUCAGCUCCGGUACCAACCUCCAGCUUACCUCCCAUGAUGCACCAGGCUCUCCAGACUUAAGCAUAUCCCGGAGACGCUCAGCUUGACAGACAUCCUGAGGGCCCCGGUCCACCACCACUUCCCCGCCCUGUCCAUGACCAUCGCCUUGGCUUCCCCACCGUGGGAGACCCCGUCCCUGGUCAAAAUGAGAGAGCUGCUCCCCACCCCUGCCCCAAAACACUCAGGAACCUCUACCAAGCCCUGCUUCUGUGAUGAGCAGUCGCCUCUCGGGCACUGCAAGGGCACUGCUGUUCCACCAGGGAUGUUAAAUCGGCCGAGGCCCCUUGAUCUCUGCAAAGCUAUAACCUGAAGGCAAGAGGCAUCCAGGAUCAGAGAGGAUCGCUCCCUGACAGCCUGCGAUGCGGAGACCCCUUUAACAACCGGUCACACGGAGCUCUUCACCAAAUCAAAAUGGACAGUAGUGGCCGUGGGGCAGACGAAUUCCUUCCAUUUAAUGACUUGUAUCUUCUUAUCCUUACUACAAAGUUGAGAUUGUUUGUGGAGGAAACUUUGGAGAAGGCAGUGAGCAAAGCAGAUGAUAAAGUAUCUGUUAUUCCACCAAGGAAAUCCCCUUUAAUAUCAUGGGAAUAGCACGUUCAAUCACAUUCGAGAAUUCUCUCUUUAAUUGCUGUUCCCUGACAGCACCCUGCCAUCUCGGAGCUGCCUUUUUACUUCCCAGUAUAGAGAGGGCAGCCGCCCAUGUCAAGAAAUAACCAUUAUUUUUCAUCAUUGAAUUGUAUGCUUUUCUGUUACACAGAUCCACUCAUUAUGGAUGCAUUUCCUUCUUGAAUAUUUACAUUGUUCGCAAUUUUUUUAAAAAAGUGAGCAUGUUUGUAGCUACAUUGUUUCAUGCAUCAUUAAUUUUCUGAAGAUCACUGGAAAUACUUCGCUGGAACAAAAGUAUUGAUAUUGUUAAUGCCUCUGGAUGUAUCCAGAAUUCUUUGGUAUUAAGUCUAGGCAGUCACAUUUCUAUUUGGCCUUAUGAUUUCUGAAUUGAUGCCAUGGUUAGAAAGCCCUUUUGUGUGCCAAACUAAUGUACAUACUGGCCUGUCCUAAACAGGACAUGAGAGCUGGCUGUCACACCCUGUCCUCUCGGUGCCUGGUGGUGGUCAGGUGUGCCUCAGCUGUCAGAGUAGGCUGUCCUCCAGGGACACAGGUAGAAAUUGGGCAUCUCCCAGGGACAUGUUAAGAUCCUUCACGAGAGAGACUCAUGCAAGGGAACUUGUUGGCUAAUUAUUAUUUAUUAGGAAGUCCUCUUGAUGAAAAUUAUACAGGAGUGGAAAUGACCACUUCUUCAACCUUAUUCAAGAGGGCAGCGACAUCAGGGCAAACCUUCCACCAGAUCCACCGAUUUGGUUCUGUGGCAGAUGCAGCCAACAGCUAAAAAAUUCAAACACCCUCAGAGGACUUAUUUCAUUGUCUCAAUAAUCAGAGAUUCUGUGGAACCAACCAAGUAGCAAUUCCUAUUCCAAACAUUUUUCAGACAGAACUCAUCUUGCUGGGGUCCGUAGUAAACAAUUCUACAGCAGAGAGACUUCUGCCUACAUGCAGAGUCCAUAAGAUGUGUGUUGAGAAAAAAUGAUGUCCCUAUGCUAUGAAAGCACGUCUAUUUCUCAACGUAUUUUGGAGAGGGUCAUUCAUUGAGGGGGCCCUGUGACUAUGUCAGACACUAUCCAUGGAAAUAAGUUUGGCUGAAUAUAACAGGAAAAUCCUAAAUAACGGUAGUUCAGGGAAGAUGCAACACGACCAGGGUCCCUGUUGCUCGCUACUCUUUCACUUCUAGGCUGGUGCCCUCUUUCCUCACUGUCUUUUGUGGUGCUCUGACCUUCACAUCUGUACUCCGGACAGCAGGAGGGGAAAGGGGAAGAAGAGGAUGCUUCCUGUUAGGGAGAUUUUCUCGAAGUCAACCAUAUCUCUAUAUAAAUCUCGCUGGCCAGAAUUGAUCACAUGACUACACCUAGCUACAAAAGAUGGUGGGAAAUACGGUCACGUAGGUGGGUACCAGUGUGCUAGCUUUUAACUCAGCUUCUUUACCAAGGAAGAAUGGAUAUUGGGCAGUAACUAGCAGCUUCUGCCACGUGGCUUGAAUCUUUCAAUUUAAUAAAAAACUAUAGGAUAAAAAGAUUGUUGUGAAAAUGUCUAAUAUGUGUUUUAGAU
rnacentral:lncRNA from 1 species